CUGCGCAUUUUACUUAUUUAUUUAUUCUCAAACCUACUCAUUUUAGAUUCGUUUUUCUUGACAUGGAUUUUCAUACAAACUAUCUUUUACAGCUCUUCUUCUAAAAUGACAUGAUUGUUAUGAUUCAAUAACUGAGAAAAACAGCUUCAGUUCCACAUGACUCCCAAAUAAGAAAUGUGACGAUUAUCCACAGCAGGAUUAUAACAAUAAGCAGAAGAAAAUUAGACAAAAUAAAUUGAAAUCUGUCAAUACAGCAACAGUAGGAGCCGAGUGACUAAAUGAUGUGCUGGGAUGUCUCGAUGCAUAAAAGAACCAUAACCUGCUUCAUGUACUUCUGGGCUCGUUAUUUUGACUGUAUAUCUCCAUAAUCAACUUGAACUUAAGGUACAUCCUAGACACUUCUUCCUAUCAAUAGUUGGCAUUUAAUUAAUGUCUUUUUGAAUAACUUAUAGUUAUAAAUGUUAAUAAUUUUGCUUCUUAUU
rnacentral:lncRNA from 1 species